AUUAAAAGCUGAGGGGCAGGGCUCCUGGGGCGGCCGCCUGUAACCGCUCUGCUCGGGCCUCCGUGCGCAGGGCGAGGACGCGCCGUGGUGACUCGAUUUCCCCGGUUGCUCCUGGCGGGGAGGAGGAGUGAAGAGUCAACUCCGGGCUGCAGUUCCACGCCCCGUUCCCUGCAUCUGGGAUGGCACUCUUUUUUGGUCAAGAAUUAGAGCUAACUGAAGUUUGUGAACAGGGUCACAACCCUGGUGGAAAAUUGAUAUAGAGAUGCAUGUGAACUCAAAACCAGACAAAAGACGUGAACAGACCUUUUCUGAAGAGAAUAUACAGAUGGCAGGUUGCUGCCAAAGCAUGGUUGCAGACGAGUGGUGUAGGUCCUCGCCCAGGAACCAAACCCGGCUGUGGUAGCAGAGCGAGCUGAACCUAACCACUAGGCCAUGGGGCCGGCCCCCCUGGUAUGGUUUCUUGUAGCCUUGAACCACUAUGUAAAUUCAGCUACCCUGACGAAGAGACCUUGACCUCAGGGAGAGGAAGAGGGUUCUAGCUAAAUCCAGCUUUUCACCCAUCCCCACCAAGA